rnacentral:tRNA from 1 species
GCCUGAGUGGCUCAGUCGGUUAAGCAUUCGACUUCAGCUCAAGUCAUAAUCUCACAGUUUGUGGGUUUGAGCCCCACAUCGGGCU